GACCCGCGGCUGUCCGGAAGCCAGAAUCUUCUCACUGCCCUGUGUCGCUCCCGCAAGACCCACCAGAGGACCCUCAUGGUGCGGGAGGGGGUCCUGGUGGGGGCCAGGGGCCAGGGUGGAGACUUGGCAGUGUGGGUGGGUGAGGUGCCCCCACAGACGAGUUUGCCCUGAGCAUUCCUGGAAGUGGUAGCCUUAGUCUCAAGAAGAGCGACGGGAUGCCGACUCCCACGCAGAGACAGAUCCAGUUUCACUCUUGUUGCCCACGCUGGAGUCCAAUGGUGCGAUCUCAGCUCACUGCAACCUCCACUUCCCGGGUACAAGCAAUUCUCCUGCCUCAGUCUCCCAGAUUACAGGCACAUGCCACCAAACCCAGCUAAUUUUUCUUGUUUUGUGUUUGUUUUUGUUUUGGGACAGAGUUUCACUCUUGUUGAACAUCUCCGUUUUAAAUGUAUUGUUUUCCUAAUUUUGGUUGCGUUGUCUGUGUUCUGCUGUAGCUUGCUAUGCUCCCUUAAAACAAUUAUUUUGAAUUCCUUGUCAGGAAAUAUUUAGAUCUCCACUUCUUUGGGGUUGGUUACUGUAAAAUUAUUGUGUUCCUUUCAUGGUGUCAUGCUUCCUCAGUUUUCAUGUUGCUUAAAGUGCUACAUUACUGUCUUUGUAUUUACUUGGAGAAGUCACUUCUUCCUGUCUUUGAUAACUGGCUUUGAGAGGAAAACACCUUCACCAGUUAACCAGGCUCAGGGAUUCUGAGGCUAUCUUGUACUUUUUCUAUGGAUGCACCCACUCCGCUCCUCUUGUUCGCUCUUGGGAUGGGGGGGAUUCUUAAGAUGGUAUACCUUCUGUUAAUACUGCAAAGCCAGGCCAAGCACGGAGAGUCUCCCAUUUGUUUUCCUUAGGGGCAGUGCCCUGAAAUGCUCAUUUGUGUACCUUCUCCCAAUCCUACGGUAUCAAGCCUGUUGAGUGCAUGUGCUUGCAAACCAUCUGUAAAGCCCUACACUUGCUGUCCAGGGUACACCUAGAGAGGUCCAGCCAUGGGGUGGUGAAAGGGGUGAAGCACAUAGAGUAUUCGAGGUGCCCAUGGGCCAGCUGGGGAGUCUACAGGUAAGGCAUCCCAAGCAGCUUGUGAGCAGGCCUUUGAUGGAAUCUGUGAAGCAGCUAGUAAGGUAUGUGGCCCUUUGUUGAGUUUUAUACUGUGAUUGCUGUGAGUCUCUUGCCUUUGUUCCUUCCUCCACAUUCUCCCAGCUACUCGUUCAUGUGCAUCCCUUCAGUAUUCUGGGUGGAAUGAAGAAAAGGGAGGACUCUUAGGAAGCAUCCUGCACAGCUGGGGAAGCUGAGUGUUCACUCAUUAUACUUUUACAUUUCCCUGUGGGAGUUACUGUGGGCUGAGGGGGUCUGUCGUGUCACUGACCUGUACCACCUACGGACAGGGGUGAUGUAGUGAAACUGUUCUUUUUAUUUUCUUCAAUGUUCCUAUGUUUAGAUUUUUUGCUCCAAUGGUGUUCUAGAAUUUCUUCCCUGGACUCCCAGAAAGGUAUAUUAAUCCAUGGAUAGUUGUCAAAACCAGGGCACUGUGGAGGAGAUGAGAUGAAUAGCAGUAGGAAACUCCUAUUCCACCAUCUGGGUCUCUCUGCCUUCUUCAUAUUUACUGUUAUAGACUGAUCUCUCCAGUUGGAAAACUCCUGGAGGACUGAACACUUUCUCAAGUACCACCUGAGUGGACAAAACAUCAACUACUUUUCCUCUGCUCUCAUACCACAGUCAACACAGAAGACUUCCAUGAAAUGUAUGGAAACUUAUCCCUACCAAUAGGCAAGUGAUCAGUUCUACAUUCAACAGCUUAUGGGUGUCCUCCAAUUCAAUUUCGCCACUACCACCCUGGAGACAGCAUCAGAUCACACAGAUUAAGGGCUCAGUCCCACGAGACUUCCUGUCACUUUUGACGCCAAUCACAAGCACCAGGAUGUUUUACCCAUGCUUCUGACCUACUGGCUAUAAAUGGGGGUUCCCAUGGCUUCCUCCUUGGGGUUGAUUAAUUUUCUACAGUGGCUCACAGAACUCAGGGAAACACAUUUAUGCUUACCAGUCUAUUGUAAAGGAUAUUACAAAGGAUACAGAUGAAAUGUUGCACAGGAAAAGAUAAGGGGGAAAAGGGACAAAGCUUCCAUGCCCUCCAAGGACGCACUGCCUUGCAGGAACCUCCACAUGUUUGGCUCCCCAGAAACUCUCUAAACCCUGUCCUUUGUGGUUGGUAUGGAAGCUUCAUUAUGUAGGCAUGAUUGAUGAGACCAUCGACCCACUGGUGAUCAGUUUAAUUUUCAGCCCUUUUCACCUCCUGGGAGGUGGAGCUGAAUGUGCCAAUCUUCUAAUCCUUCUGGGUCUCUUCAGUGAUCAGCACCCAUCCUGUGAAGCCACAUAUGAGCUGCCAGUCAUAAGUCAACUCAUUAGCAUACAAAAAGAUAACACUUCGAAGAGUCUAAGGAUUUUAGGAGUUGCAUGCCAGCAAAUGGGACAAAGACCAACUGUAUAUUACACCCUCCCAACCAUGGCACCCUCCCAACAUGGCACCCAGCAUAUUCCUGAACACAUAGGAAAUACCUGAUAGAUACUCGUUGACUGAAAAAAGAAGCUGAGUCAUCCACAGAGAGAGGUGAGUUGCAGCCGGAUGCGAUGGCUCAUGCCUGUAAUCCCAGCACUUUGGGAGGCUGAGGCAGGUGGAUCACCUGAGGUCGGGAGUUCGAGACCAGCCUGACCAACAUGGAGAAACCCCAUCUCUACUAAAAAUACAAAAGUAGCCAAGCAUGGUGGGGCAUGCCUGUAAUCCUAGCUACUCAGGAGGCUGAGGCAAGAGAAUCACUUGAACCCCGGAGGCGGAGGUUGCGGUGAGCUGAAAUCAAGCCAUUGCACUCCAGCCUGGGCAACAGGAGGAAAACGCCAUCUCAAAAAAAAAAAAAAAAAAAA
ensembl:lncRNA